GACGUAGGAUGCGAGCGUUGUUCGGAAUUAUUGGGCGUAAAGCGUGCGUAGGCGGUUCUAUAAGUCUGGUGUUAAAGCUAGAGGCUCAACCUCUGUGUUGCACUGGAAACUGUAGGACUUGAGUGCGGUAGGGGAAGGUGGAAUUCCGAGUGUAGCGGUGAAAUGCGUAGAUAUUCGGAAGAACACCGGUGGCGAAGGCGAACCUUCUGGGCCGCAACUGACGCUGAGGCACGAAAGCCUGGGGAGCAAACGGG
rnacentral:rRNA from 1 species